UAAUCCUCAAGCGGUUCGAUCAGCCCAACAUACAUAAAUAUAAACAUGAAGCCCAAACUCAGUCCAUAUGACCCGUUCGGGUCUUUAUAAAGUUCCCUAAUCCUAGGGUUUCCUAAUUGAACCUCAUCAUCUUUGUGUCUCCGCCGUCGCCUCUAAAUAUGUUGCGCUUGUUCCUCACCAACAGUCAUCUCCCCCUCCUCAUGCUCUAGGUGUGUUAUCGGUGGAUGUCCAUGAGUUCAGCUGUAACUCGAUAGAGAGCUUGAACAUUGCAUUUCAGCUCCAUAGAUCUGUGUACAAUCGCACCUAAGCCCUAGAACAAGUUGAAGAAAGACAUCUCUAAGAUAAGAUCACCCAAAGACACACCUCUAGGCUCAGAGAGAGAGUCCGGCAUCUAUAACGGUAUUGAGGU